GCCCUCAGGAAUCCGUGAUCCUCAGGGGUGUGUGGCUCUGAGGACUGAGACAGCCACUGGCGGGAGGGUGGGGCAGGCACAAAUGCUGCAGGGCACGGCAGUUUGGACGCCUGCUCUCCGAUUCUCCAGAGCUGGGACAUCUGCACUGUUUUUCAUCUUUUAAUCCCAGCUGUUAUCAGCUGCUGGGAAAUAGUUGAGCCCAAUCUCCAAGCUGGGAGAGGCUUCUUCUAAAUUCCACCAGGAGAACAAAGAGUUCCAAAAGAAUGACACAGCUGCCCAGACUGGCAGCCGGGCGGCCAGCCAGUAGGGCCAGGCUGGGAGGAAGGCAUGUGAAUGGGCCAGAGGGUGGGCACAGAGGCGAGCCAGGGACCAGCCCGGGCUCUGUGGAGUCGGGGUGGGGACCGGGGGCAUCUUCUCUUCACGGCCUUUGUGUUGGGAAACUCGGCAGCCUCCUGGUGGCGUGAAGUUCCGGGUCCAAGCCCACGGACGUCAGGCGGAAGGUGUGGCUGUGUCUCUGCCGGGUGGCCAGAGCUCAGAGUGGUUGAUGUGCCAUUUGUUGCUGCCCCAAACCUCCUGACCAUCCUCUUCACUUCUGGAUGCUUCCCCAUAGCGUACACCCAGCCUUGCCACACUGAUGACAAACUUUGCUGCUCUCUUGGGGCUGGGCAUAGACUUACAUCCCACCUGUCACCUGUGCUUCAGAGCUGAGGACGGGACAGGGCGCAUUCUUCAGCCAGCUGGAUUGGAUUCUGUUGUCUGCAACUAUGAAUCCUGACAAGCUCCUCCAACGACCCCCUGGCCGAGUUUCCAGCUCUCCUGCUGCAGGCAUACAUGGGUUAUGCAGGGAAAGGACACAGACCCAUUCACGGAGACGUGGCUCUAAGAAGCCUUUCUUUACGAGGAGAAAACAGUGCAAGCCCCAGCGAACCUCACGGGCAUGCAUUUUCAUCCUGUGCCCAGGGAAGAGCACCCCCCCAGCAGGUGUAAGGAACAAGGGAGACAGAAAUAAAGAUGGCAGCUGCUUCGCUCUCAUGACUCCGCUUAUUUCAUGAACUGGAUAUGGCGGGCACACGCUGGCUAUUCCCUCUGAACCGCUGAGCCGGAGCAAGUGGUCUGGUCUAUGUACAAGAGCCGGAGGCCCUCGUGCUGGAAUUUGCUAGCCCUUCCAGCCACAUAUGAGACUGCAGUUCCAGCAUCUCCCUAGUGAGGAGAAGAAAGCUAAAAAGGAGUUUCUGCCCAGCCUGUUGUCGUUAUAGAUGACAAAUCAAAAGGGCAUUGGGAAUUACCAUUUGGACAUGGUGUUUUUU